rnacentral:lncRNA from 10 species
UGGGGAGGUCAACAGACAUGCCUCACACCCUAGCCCCACUGGCAGGGCCAGCUGGUGACUCAGGGGCAUGCUGGCGUGCAGAACUUCAGGUAGAUGGUGGGCCCUGAGCUGCAGAGGCUGGGGCAAGCGAGAGCAGGACCCAGGAAGAGGCACCCAGUCGGGCAGUGUUUAAGCGGAGUGCCAGAAGGAAAGAAUCUCGGAGAAUUUGAAUGCCCACACAUAAAAUAGAGCAGAAGCUGACUAUAUUCUUCCUACACUGCAGUGGGGGUCAGCAAACAGCCUGAGAGACCAAUGAACAAACCCUUGCACGUCAGUCCUGGCCAGUCAUGUGACCUUGGGCAAUUUACUUAUCCCCUCUGAACUUCAGCUCCUCCUCCCUGGGCAAGUCACGCUGUGAGUGUCUCCCGUGCCGGGCAUGGAACAGCUCUGCGAAUCUCAGCUGUCAAAUGUAGACCUGACCCUCAUUCAGUGCUGCCUGAGACCAGGGGCUUUGCCAGCUCGGCCGUUAUGCAACUGCGCUGUGCGAUGUGAUAGCCGGUGGCCAGACGUGGUUACUUAAAUAUUCACUUAAAAGUCAUUACAAUUAAGCAACAUUUAAAUUCAGUUUUUCUGUCACACGAGCCGCAUUUCAAGUGUCAAUGGCCACAUGUGCGUAGUGGUUACCAAUCACCCCGCCCACAUAUAGGAUGUUUCCAUUGGUGCAGAGUUCUGUUGGACGUCGGAUGGCAUCUGUCCGGAACCUUGGGGGACCCACAGUCAGCCGGGACACUGGCCAAAACUGCAGACCCCUGCACUGCCCUCUACAGAUUCUACUCAGUGGAGUCCUGGUGAUGUUCCCCAGAGUGCCAGGACCAGGCGCGGAGCCACGCCCACCACUCUGACAGCUGCUUCCGCUGAGUGACACGCGGAACCGAGAGGCACCUUGACGGAAAACACAACUGAGGCCCAGCAACCUGCCGAGGCCCCACAGCCAGGGAAGGAGCUGCCCAUUAGGCAGGGGUGGAGGGGAGGACGUUUGCUCCUCUUAUGAGAAGCCUCGGCCCCCAUGCCUGCCAGGGGACAGGGACUGGCACCCUUGACUCCUUGGUCUCCCCAAAUUACAGUGUGCUGCAUUCUGGACACACAGCAUGGUAGGGCUGGGUGUUUCAGUGUGAAGCCCAGAGGCGCCGGAACACAGGACCUGUCAUAGACCCCGUGUGCUAGCCCAGUCCACCGAAAACCAUCCUGGCGCUCCAGAACAUUUGAAUGGAAGUGACUUCCAAAUAGAGGGAACUGGCGAGGGAGCCAAGAGCCCGUUUCUUGCAAAUGAAUCAUGUAGGGCUGGCUCCAGCCUGGCCCCGGGUUUCUACAGGACUGAUGCUUCUUUCUGUUCAUUCAGAGCCGCAGUCAUCUCUGGAUUCACUUGAGUUCUGGAAAAUUCAUCAGUGCGGCCCAGAGGAGGGCUCUGAACGUGCGUCUGUUGGACUGUGUGGCCGCCGUGGCAGUUCUGCAACCUGCAGAGCCUCUUCCUGCAGCCCUGCUCAUCCUCCCAGGCCACCAUUGCCAAAGAACUUUUCCAGUUAACUCAGGCCCAAGGCGGUCUGCAGUCCCAAGCCAGCCCUUCACAUGACUGUAAGCAGAUGCCACGCCAUGCUGGAUGGUUCCAUGUCUCCAUUCAGUCACCAGAUCUCCGAAGUGCACCAGCUCUGGCCAGCUUGGCCGCUAGCACUGCAGUGACAAAGGGGGACAAAGCACAGACCCCGCCUUUGUGGAGUUCCAGUUUGGUGGCAAUGACACCCUUGUCAGCAGCUGGCUGCAGCACCAGAGAUGCCCUGUACAAAGCCCAUACAAAGCGGUGUGCAUGCCAGAGAGGCUGUGAUGAAUCCUGUGGGAGCAAGAGGAAGGCUGGGAGAGAGGGGCAGAGAGAG